UACGAGUGCCCCGAGCGUUGUCCGGAAUCAUUGGGCGUAAAGGGUGUGUAGGUGGCAGUGUUAGUCGAUUGUUAAAACCUGGGGCUCAACCCCAGACUCGCGAUCGAAACGGCACAGCUAGAGGAUGGCAGGGAUGAAUGGAACUCAUGGAGUAGGGGUGAAAUCCGUUGAUAUCAUGGGGAACACCAAAAGCGAAGGCAGUUCAUUGGGCCACUCCUGACACUGAAACACGAAAGCGUGGGUAGCGAAUGGG
rnacentral:rRNA from 1 species